ensembl:snRNA U7 U7 small nuclear RNA
GAGUGUUACAGCUCUUUUAGAAUUUUUCUAGCUGGCUUUCUGAUCUUUACCUGAGAAGCAAUA